GAUGAACGCUGGCGGCGUGCUUAACACAUGCAAGUCGAACGAUGAAGCCCAGCUUGCUGGGUGGAUUAGUGGCGAACGGGUGAGUAACACGUGAGUAACCUGCCCUUGACUCUGGGAUAAGCCUGGGAAACUGGGUCUAAUACUGGAUAUGACUUCUCAUCGCAUGGUGGGGGGUGGAAAGAUUUAUUGGUCUUGGAUGGACUCGCGGCCUAUCAGCUUGUUGGUGAGGUAAUGGCUCACCAAGGCGACGACGGGUAGCCGGCCUGAGAGGGUGACCGGCCACACUGGGACUGAGACACGGCCCAGACUCCUACGGGAGGCAGCAGUGGGGAAUAUUGCACAAUGGGCGCAAGCCUGAUGCAGCGACGCCGCGUGAGGGAUGACGGCCUUCGGGUUGUAAACCGCUUUCAGUAGGGAAGAAGCGAGAGUGACGGUACCUGCAGAAGAAGCGCCGGCUAACUACGUG
rnacentral:rRNA from 1 species